rnacentral:sRNA from 1 species
UUAAUUGAGAUCUGAUUACAAAAAAAAAAAAAGAGAAUCUUUAUUUGUAUUUGCAGAAGAAGAAGAGAAAAAGUUUGAAAGAAAAUGGGAGCAGCGAAGAAUAUCUGGGCAUUAGCCA